rnacentral:rRNA from 1 species
CCUACGGGUGGCAGCAGUGAGGAAUAUUGGUCAAUGGUCGUGAGCCUGAACCAGCCAAGUCGCGUGCAGGAUGACGGCUCUAUGGUUUGUAAACUUCUUUUAUACGGGGAUAAAGUGCGUCACGUGUUCUUUUUUGUAUGUACCACAUGAAUAAGCAUCGGCUACUUCCGUGCCAGCAGCCGCGGUAAUACGGAAGGUGCGGGCGUUAUCCGGAUUUAUUGGGUUUAAAGGGUGCGUAGGUCGCUAAUUAAGCGUGCGGUGAAAUUCCGUGGCUCAACCAUAGAACUGCCGUUGGAACUGGUUGGCUUGAGUGUGUGGAAGGUAGGCGGAAUGCGUGGUGUAGCGGUGAAAUGCAUAGAUAUCACGAAGAACUCCGAUUGCGAAGGCAGCAUACGGAACCGUAACUGACGCUGAAGCGCGAAGGCGUGGGGAUCGAACAGGAUUAGAUACCCGAGUAGUC